AAGUCGUAACAAGGUCUCCGUAGGUGAACCUGCGGAGGGAUCAUUACCGAGUGAGGGCGCCUCGCGCGCUCGACCUCCCAACCCUUUGUUAAAAACCCCAACCUCAGUUGCCUCGGGGGCGACCCGGCCUCGGCCGGGGCCCCCGGUGGACCCAACCUCAAACUCUUGCAUCUCUGCGUCUGAGUAUUGAAGCAAAUCAAUCAAAACUUUCAACAACGGAUCUCUUGGUUCCA
rnacentral:misc_RNA from 1 species